GGCCAGUGUGGUGUAGUGGUUUGAGCAUUGGACUACAAAUCCAGAGAUGAGGGUUUGAUUCCCCACUUGGCCA